AAAACUGUAAUCCAAAAACCUCAGUGGACGAAACAAAAUCCCAUCAUGCAACCAAAACUCAAUUUUUCCUGCAGGACACAGUGAGUGAAGCUGUCACAACUGCGAUUUCCUCUCAACCUCAUACGUGUUCAUUUCCAACUCCAAAACGAUUCCCUGACAGCCAGCGGAGCACUUUACCAUGAGACACCGCAGCACACAGUUCACAGAUGAAAUUAGCAGUUGCAGCUUUGAAGUUCGCAAGAUACAAGGGGGGAAAAGCAUUUUGCAUCUCACAUGGCUGACUACCCCAUCAUCUUGAUAUUUGUUCACAGCUGUCACACUGAUUCUCCCUUCUCUUCGCCAGGAACAAGGGGAUAUUGUUCGUUCACUCCAGAGUGAAAGCACACAGGCACUCAACCUGUCGAAGACAUGCUGGGCUUCACUGAGCUCUGAACUGGAAAAUGCCUGCCACCUCCCCGCAGUUUUGGACUGUCAAAAGCAGUGGUUCUCAAACAUUUUGUUGACACUGAAUUCUGGGGAGACUCACAUUAGGCCCGCUGUAUAAAAUUUUCCUCUCCGCUUUGAAUCACACAUCUUAGGGAUAGUUGCAUUUUAGUGAGAUUUUAUAUUGUAGACCAACUGAAAGUUGCAAAUAUUUCCCAAAGAAGGAAAAUAAGAGAUGGUUUCUAUUCAUUUUUUUUUUUUUUUUUAUUCACCCAAAAACUUUUAAUAAAAUUCAGUGCAACUUAAAAAUUAAGUUAAUUAAAAAGAUGCAAUUUAAUUUCAGUAUAAGCACAUCUACUCUUUGAAGAUUUCUUAGAUGACAUUAUUGAAGCAAAAGCAUCAUGAAAACUGACGACAUUCUGGGUAUGGAGAACGUUAAUCGGACAAGUUGCCACAAAGUCUAUACUUGGGAGAAACUACAAAGAUGUAAGAUUUUGACAAAAGAACUAAUUUGACCACAAUGGAAGAAUGAUAAGAGGAAAGCUGUUAUAUAAUAAUAAUAAAAAAACAUUAUAAGACAAAUCAGCAGUUUUCCAUGGGAGACACAAAAGUAAUGGUAAAAAGUAUUCUAGUCAACAUCAAACAAUACAUGUGGAAAAAAAAAAAUCGAGAAUCUGUGGUGAUACCUAAAUACUGUCAUCCACAGAUGUCCUCUCUACAGUCUGAUUGAGCCAUAGUUAUUUUGUAAACAGGAAGCAUAGCUGUACAAAGCUAGAAGAUAUACAGUAUACCCCCAAAGACUUGAAGCUGUAAUUGCCCUAAAGGGCGACUGCGCAAAGUUUUGACUCGGAAAGGCUGAGCACCAAUGCACAGAACAUAUUUUAUAUUUUUAUUUGUAAAGAAAAAUUCCUUCAUUUCCUGACACUUUUUAAUUUGCGUUGGUACCUCACAAAAAUGAAGCAUAUGCUUGUAACUUGUUUAGGGCUCAGUGAUGCUUCUACAAUAUAAGUUUACAAUUUGCAACACUUUCUAGCAUUUUAACAUAGAUUAAUAAAACGGUCAGAAAUCUGUUUUAUGUUAAAAUCCUCUCUAGGAAUCAGAAAAAGUAAAAUCCAAAAGUUCAAGUCAAACCCUCAUGAGGUCACUUGCCUCUUAUACACUGCUUGGAUUGUGAACAAAAUAAAUAUCACAUUAGAUUAUACAAGCCAGUGCGCAUAGUGAUUUAAAACAAAAUUCUCACUUUUUUCCCCCAAUUAAAAAUGUAUCUCAAGUAAAAAUCUGAGAUGAUUGUUUGCACAUCAAGUCCCUUAUAUUCAUGUUUAUUCAGUUUGCAGAUUUAUUAAACGCUCGCUGGGAAAAAUAGUUAAAACAACAACAACUCCUUUCAGUUGCCAGCAUCCAUGAAAUGAAGUUUGAAAGUCACAGAGAUGAAUAAUGCUCUUUGGCUUUGUUUGCACACCAACAGGCUGGCCUUCCACAAAGAACCAACAAUGCAUCGCUUUGAACUUGUAUUUACGCAGGCGAGCACAAACAUUUACCAAAAAUACAGGUCCUUUCAUAUGUUAUAAUAGGGAUGGCAUGGCAUUGUACAUGUGCAUAUAUCACAAAUCAAAAUAUACAGCAGAUCUGUUCUUUAUGAGAUCAUGCGCAUUACCAGCGUUGCCCUGGACCGAGCUGCAUUCAGAAAUGCACGCUAAGCACACAAGCCCAACCAGCUGCUUGUACUUACACCAUGUUUCCUGACACCCUGUUUGGACUGAAAGAACGAGCAGCCUUAUUAAUCAGCUCUGAGAGGUACGCCAUCCAUCCAAGCACAUGGCUGCCUUGAUUGUGGGACAUUUUAAAGGCCGUCAGGUCUAUACAACGACUGUUAAAAGCAACGAGAACCGUAUCUCUGUAAAUUAUUUAGCCAGGAGAGGGACGUAAAUCAUUAUGAGUGUCAGAUACUGAACAUGGCACAUGCUGCAGUGCAAAAUGCACACAGAGAGACUAUUCACGCUUGGUGCUGAGUGUGGGAUUUAAAGCCCCAUGUCGUCCACUGUUCUCUGCACAGCCCUGUCAACUUCAGUCGCAACUAAUUCACAGAAGUUGAUUAUGAGUGAUCGAUUUCAAGAGUUUGUGCAAUUAUUUUCCACGUGGCAGGGAGCUCAUGUGAACUGGAAGUGGUGGCUUAUCCUACUUUGAAUAAAUCUCAGGGGUUUUAUUUUUGGUUUCUUUUUUUUGUUUGUUUGUUUUUUGUUUGUUUGUUUUUUUACAGGAUUGUUAUUUUAAAAGCAUGAAUCUUGCAGGAAAUCCAUCCACAAUAGUAGAUAGUCAAUUUACUGCUCAGUCUGAAGGUUUCAAAAAACAAACAUAAAAAAUGUUCUGAAAGGCAUUUCUAGGACUGGGGGAAAAAUUAGUAAAAUUUGUUUGUAAGAAAAAAAAUAAUAAAAAAGAAAAAUUCCUAAACACCUUUGAGUUAUCAUCCAAUCUCAUUGCUGCUUCACACAGUUAUUCAAAUAUUCCAUUUGUAAUUCUUGAGAAGUGUUAGUUAUUCCUGAACGUCUGUGCUCGAAGAUCUGGCUUGUCGACAGGCUUCAGUGUGACUGACACACUCAUCAAAAUGAGAAUCCUUCUUGCCUGAGGGAACUGUGAUACCUGUCAAAUGGUGGAUAUCUUUUAAUGUUCCUGUCUCAAAUGCAUGUCAGAGCAAAUGCCAAGUCAUAACAUCAGUUAUUACCUGGAUGUUCAACGCCUGAUUCCUCUUAUUUACGCAAGGGUUCAAAAGAUCCCCUCAGUUGUCUUUCCCACUUUGUUUAUGAAGAGAAUCAUAGCUGUGACAGUUUAUUUUUUAUUUAUUCAUUUUUUUUUGCAUUCUUGCAUUUUCAGUAAAUUUCUUCUGUUUAUUUAUUUAUUUUUGAUUGACUGCUCAGGUGUGUGUCAUGUGCAACUGCUGUGUGCUUCUUCUCCUGUAAGAUGUAAAUCCUUGAAGGUUACUAACUUGUAAUUUCCUUCAGCUACCAUUAGGCAGAAAAUCUACCGUUCCAGAUUUUAACAUCAGACAGUUUACAGACUCUUGUGAACACCGGAUAUAAAGCAUGUUCAUACAAUGGA